AGAGUUUGAUCAUGGCUCAGGAUGAACGCUAGCUACAGGCUUAACACAUGCAAGUCGAGGGGAAACGAUAGAGAAAGCUUGCUUUUUCUAGGCGUCGACCGGCGCACGGGUGAGUAACGCGUAUCCAACCUGCCCACCACUUGGGGAUAACCUUGCGAAAGUAAGACUAAUACCCAAUGACGUCUCUAGAAGGCAUCUGAAAGGGAUUAAAGAUUUAUCGGUGAUGGAUGGGGAUGCGUCUGAUUAGCUUGUUGGCGGGGUAACGGCCCACCAAGGCAACGAUCAGUAGGGGUUCUGAGAGGAAGGUCCCCCACAUUGGAACUGAGACACGGUCCAAACUCCUACGGGAGGCAGCAGUGAGGAAUAUUGGUCAAUGGGCGAGAGCCUGAACCAGCCAAGUAGCGUGCAGGAUGACGGCCCUAUGGGUUGUAAACUGCUUUUAUAAGGGAAUAAAGUGAGCCUCGUGAGGCUUUUUGCAUGUACCUUAUGAAUAAGGACCGGCUAAUUCCGUGCCAGCAGCCGCGGUAAUACGGAAGGUCCGGGCGUUAUCCGGAUUUAUUGGGUUUAAAGGGAGCGUAGGCUGGAGAUUAAGCGUGUUGUGAAAUGUAGAUGCUCAACAUCUGCACUGCAGCGCGAACUGGUUUCCUUGAGUACGCACAAAGUGGGCGGAAUUCGUGGUGUAGCGGUGAAAUGCUUAGAUAUCACGAAGAACUCCGAUUGCGAAGGCAGCUCACUGGAGCGCAACUGACGCUGAAGCUCGAAAGUGCGGGUAUCGAACAGGAUUAGAUACCCUGGUAGUCCGCACGGUAAACGAUGGAUGCCCGCUGUUGGUCUGAAUAGGCCAGCGGCCAAGCGAAAGCAUUAAGCA
rnacentral:rRNA from 1 species